rnacentral:lncRNA from 1 species
GUUUGGACGUAGAUAUUCAAGCUCAAAAUUCGGAAUUGGAAUUGGUACCUCCGAAUGUCGGCUGUUUGGAUGUCCUGGAACUUAGAAUUGGAAAUGAAACCCAAUACCAACUGGUAUUCAGCCCACCCUCACCCCUUCAUCUUCGAUACCAACCCAACCUGCUCUUUAUUCACUGGAAUCGUCUCCUCCCCCACCCUCCG